CCUACGGGAGGCAGCAGUAGGGAAUAUUGGGCAAUGGACGCAAGUCUGACCCAGCCAUGCCGCGUGCAGGAAGAAGGCGUUAUGCGUUGUAAACUGCUUUUAUACAGGAAGAAACGACUCUUGCGAGAGGCAUUGACGGUACUGUAUGAAUAAGCACCGGCUAACUCCGUGCCAGCAGCCGCGGUAAUACGGAGGGUGCAAGCGUUGUCCGGAUUUAUUGGGUUUAAAGGGUGCGCAGGUGGUUUAUUAAGUCAGUGGUGAAAGACGGUCGCUCAACGAUUGCAGUGCCAUUGAAACUGGUAGACUUGAGUAAAGUAGAGGUGGGCGGAAUUGAUAGUGUAGCGGUGAAAUGCAUAGAUAUUAUCAAGAACUCCAAUUGCGAAGGCAGCUCACUUGGCUUUUACUGACACUCAUGCACGAAAGUGUGGGUAUCAAACAGGAUUAGAUACCCUGGUAGUCCACACUGUAAACGAUGAUAACUAGGUGUCGGCCGAAUCUGGUCGGUGCCACAGCGAAAGCGUUAAGUUAUCCAACCUGGGGAGUUACGCGGNAACGGUUGAACUUCAAGGAUUGACGGCNGAGAGNGCGAGCGACGACGAGGAGGAGG
rnacentral:rRNA from 1 species